AGUAGCAGCUCCAUUAACACACCCUGCACUAGCUGCCUCCCCUCCCUUUCUCAGCUGGUACUGUCUAGGAUCACCUCUCAAAUAAAAGGGUUAAUAAAACUUACAUAUAUCAGAAAUUCAGGUCAAAAGUACUACAUUAUAAAAUGGUAAAAGCAUGGGCAUAUCAGCAGGGAAGUUCACACUAAACUGGGUCUGGCUCCCAGUUCUUUUACUUACUAACCAAAAAGUUUGGGCAAGUUAUUUGACUUCUAUAUGCAUCAGUUUCUUUGUAUAUAAAGUGGAAACAGUAUCCGUGAAGAACAAAUGAGGUAGGGCAUAUGUAGAAAUAGCAAAGUGCCUAGCAUAUACCAAGUAUCUAAUAAUGCUAUUAUUAUAAAAUGUACUUUUAUUUUACUCAUUUUUAUCAGCUCAGUCUUUCUUCACUAACUUGUAAAGCUUUAGAAAAUAACUACAAACUUCUGUAACUAGUUUGAAUCUAGAAUAAGUUUUAUCUUGACCAAUUCAACCUGUCACUUUCACAGCACUAGGAAAUUUACCAAGUUUAAUAAACUCUAGUUAAUGCCAUACAACAUAUUUUUGCUUUCAAUUUCUAUGGAAGCCAUUUAAGGGAGGUAGGAACCAACCAGCUGCUGUAGGUUCUACAUAUUGGUUCACAUUACUAAAAUAAAUGUUACAUGGAUGCUAAAAGUCUAAUUUAAAGCAAGAAGUAUGAGUUCCUUAGCAUGGUAUACUUAGCAAAGAAAAAGAAAUCUCCACGUACUCCGUUUUUUACAUUCUUAAUGGAAAAUUUCGCUUUGUCUUUAUUAACAUGUGUCCUUAGAAUAACUGCAGAGGCAAAGGUUCUGACUACUUACUAUGCUAUGGCAUAAACUACUACUGUCAGACUAAUAGCAGCAGUAAUUUUGCCUGGUUCUGGUCCAUUAAUCAAAAAUAAUGUUUACAGUAAAGAAUCAAAAAAUUAUGUGCAUACCAUAAACACUGACUUAACCUGAACACAUAUAAAUAUGCAUUAAGUCCCCAAUUUUUCAAAGCAGUUUCAAGUAAUCCUUGAGGAGGACUACUUCCCCAAUAUUAUUCUUGUAUAAACCAUAAUCAGAAUUUAUUUUGUACAAAUUCCAGUUUUAAUUUGCUAAGUGGUUUAAAAACUAAAAAACAAAAACAACAAAACAAACUGGUAAAGCAAGCUUGGGAUAUUACCUUCCAAGUUUUCAUAGUUUUCUCUGCAAUCUUUUCACAGUUUUCCUGCCCACUUUUUUAGCCACUAACUUGUAUGGAAUCUUCCUAAAUAAUUCAACAUUCCUUUCACAGAAACAAUAACGCUCUUUCCAUUUGCACUUAUGUUUCAUAGAUUUUCGUACUUAUUUAAAUUAUUUAAUUACCAUAAUAAGUGCAACUGGUACCAACAGGUUUGCAAUAACUACAACAGACUAUUGUUGAGCCAGUAACCCAGGAGUUGGAACAGGGAACAGGCUACUAGCAGCCUGGGCAGCACUCAGUCUGCUUUAUGGGAAAUGAAGUGCAUAGGCUCGCUGGCCAAUGGGUUAGAUGUCAAGAGGGUUGUCUUUGUAUUAGGAUGAACCAUAUGCAGUUGCCAACAUCCAGCUGUCUUUUAUCUAGAGAAAUGCAAGUGCAUAUAUUCAAUGUAUUGGACAUCUUUAUUAUUUUUAUAUUAACUACUAUUAAAUAUUAUAUCUACUACCCAUUUUUCUCCCUUGAACAAUGAAUAGUGACUCUCACAACUUUAUUUUUUAAAUUCUAUUCCACAUUUACCUUGGAACUCACGUUAAGCUACUGAAUAAUCAGUACUUGCACUCUGGAUUCCUAAGAAUGUUAUUUCUACCUUCUUUCUUUCUUCAAGUUAAAGUCACACAUGUUAGAAUUUCAAAGAGGCUGAAGGCAAUAAGCCUGUGUCUUCUAACUAACUGAAUGACAAACAGCAGAGGGAUUAAAAUGUGAGGCUGGCAUGAGUUUGUUCGUUUAUUGGUUUGCUUGUAAGACACAUUUUUUUGGCCCAUGGAAUCCAACACAGGUACAAAGCGGAGUGAGCAGAGAAGCCCCUGGACAGACUUGGGAUGAGCCAUCCUUAAAGACAAGCGCCUUUUACUUUUGCUCUGUCCUUGUCAGUGUCAUUUAAUUAUAAUAAACAAACCAAACAUCACAAAUGUGCCAUUAAGACAAAACCUAGAAAUAUGGGACAUAAAGGCAGAAGGAGGGGCUGUAUUUAGAUGAGGAACUACUUUCAAACUCUUAGAAGUUCUCACAUUUCUAGUCCUGACCCUAAAAAGUCUAAGCAGGUUCGCAAAUGUGGUUGUCCUUAUGCCCACACAAAACUCUUGCAUGAUAUCAUAGUCCUAGUGUCUUUUAGAGCCUCUAAAACGUCAACCCCCAGAGUCUGUAUGCAGAGUGAGAAGAGCCUAAACAUUGUAAUUAUACCCAGGUUUCAAUCCCGGCUGCAUACUUCUACCCAUAGUCCUCAUAGCACGCAUGGGUGCAGAACAGGAAGAAGAGGCGCUCACCCUUUCUGCUUUUCUUCUUCUAAACACCCUUCUUUCCUUCUCUGCACCCACGUGUGCUGUGAGGAUUAUGGUGCACACCUUACUGGCUUUGGAGGAUUUAUGAGAAAAUGCAUGCAGAGUGCCUUCCUGCAACUAUUACUGAUAUCUAAAAGGCACCAAAACUUUUCACCUCGUGACUGUCAACUUAAAGGUUUAAAUCUUAAAUGCAGGCAUGAGCAAUCUAUAAAUAGGUGGCACAGAGGACACCCAUGCAGUUUGUUUUCUAUUUCCCAAAUUGUUAUACAAACUGAGCAUAACCAAUACAUCAAAUGUAAGCAAGGAAGGUAGCUGUCCUUUCCAGAUCACACGGAGAAGUGAGACAGAGCCUCCAAUGGGAGAAGAGAUUUCAAAGAGGUGAAGCUGCAAAUGCCAGAGGGAUAAUUUUAAAAUACAAAUCUUAACAGGUCCCUCUCCUUCGUAUAGGCUCCCAAUUAACUUUGGGGUACAAUCCAAAAUCUUCAGCAGGUCAAACCAGGCUCUCAGCACCCCAGCCCACGCAGACCUAGGCAAUCUCAUCUCACACCCUCUUCUGUGGUGAUUUUACAGUCCUUCAGAUUCUCUGAUCACACCUGCAUUCUCUGGGCCUGAAUUUGACUUUCUGUCCUCACCCCAUUUCUCUGCUGCCCUACCUCCCAGUCGUCCCCUCUUUCACCUCCGGAGAACAACUCUGUCUGCCUUCCCCCGCUGAGCUUCCCCAGCACUGUCCCGUGUUAACAGUACUGUCUGUACUGUUACUGUUAACCUCCUUCCAGCCCACAAAGAAUUGGACAGACUUUGGCACUGUGUCUGACAAAAAGCUGACACUCAGUGUUUUUUGAGUAUGUACUUCUGAAACUCCCUAAUUUGAGAUGUAACCAGUUAAGAUGAGGUCAUACCUUAAUGCAGUAUGACUGGUGUCCUUAUAAGAAAACAGCCAUAUGAAGACAGGCACACAGGGAGAGUGCUAUGGGAAGACUGAGUCAGAUACUGAAAUAACACAUCUAUGAGGCAAUGGCUGCCAGUGUCACCAAGAAGCUAGGAGAAAGGCACACAACAGACUCUCCUUCAAAGCCUUCAGAAGUAACCAACACAGUUAGCACCCUGAAUUCAGACCUCUAUCUUCCAGAGCUUUGAGACAAUACAUUUCUGUUCUUUUGAGCCACCCAGUCUGUGGUUCUUUGUUACAGCAGCCCCAGGAAACCGACACAGUACCAAAUAUGCAAAACUAGCUUCAUAAUACUGUUCACAUUGAAUUGAAUUGCUGCUGCUUCAGAAAGAAAAAAGUAGGCACAACACAUCCAUUCUGUUUUUAAAUUUUCUUUUAGAAAUCUGUGAAGGUGUAUUAAGAACUACAAAAAUGACCAUACUUGUUGACAAAGUAAUUACACUUCUGGAAAACUAUCACAAAAAACAAACAAACCACAAUUUGUUCAAUGAUAUAUCUUCAAAGAUAAGUAUUUCUGUAACUAAGGUUGUUUAUAAUUUGUUGCUAAUAUACCUGUCCAAAUAGACAGGUAUAAUAGACUAGUUAACUAAAUCAUAUUGUAAUUACUGGAAUAUAACAGAAACAACAGGGCUUCUGGAAAUUAUGUAAGAUGAAAAUGCUUACUAUUUGUUAUAUGGAAAGACACAAAAUACUAAAAUUCUAUACGGAGUGAUGUAGGAAAACACACAUUUUAAAAAAAGGAGAGGGACAACAGUACAAUUGAAAAAAAUAUUCAUUGUGGUAGAGGUAUGUUCGGUGGACUAGAACUCUCUUUUUGACUCCCUAAUCUCACCAUGUUGGUGCCUCCUUCCACUCUUUUUCUCUCCUCACACCUCCCCAAACAAAGCCAAUUCUUUUUUGGCAAUGCCUCCCAGGAUGGACCCAGACUCGUAUCACUGUGUACUGAGGUUUCUUAGGGAAAAGAUUCCGAUCUGGCUUGUCUGCAGUCUUAUCCCACUAUCAUAUCUACUGCCAGAAUAAAAGUUAUUCCACAGCCAAAAAUAUCUGAUGCGGUAAUCUCUUCAUUUAUGCUCUAUGCAUUUUUAUGUAUGUGUCAUAAUUUUCAAUAAAAGGGGGUUAUUUUUCAGUAAUUUACUGUGACUUCAUAUCCUGUUUUGCUGAGAUUAGGAUUCAUGCUUUUCUGCCAAUAUGGUCCUACUUCAUUACACUUCUGAGUGUAACGUUUAGCCAGAAGGAGCUGGGUUCCCGUCACAGCAGUGGAGUUGGCAGAGGCUGUUGUUCUUCUACAAUGCCUGCCAGCUCCCCUAUGUCUCCCAAUGCAAACUCCUUAGCAUCCUGUAAAUCCUAGCUUAACAAUUUCAAAGUUUUCCACCACCAGCAAAUUCACCUGAUAUCUGCAGUCUUAAUUCAUAGUGAUCAUAUUCCGCAAGCAUUUAUCAAGCAAUUACUAGUUGCAAGGCCUGAAUGAAGAUGUGUACAAUCUUUUUGUGGACACUGAACA